rnacentral:misc_RNA from 1 species
CAUUUGGGUGAAUAAAUUUGAAACUGAGAAAUGAAAUAGGUGGAACCAACUACCCAAUGGAGUUGAGGAUGGCAGCAUCAAGUCACACAUGGUACAGUAAUAUUUCAAACCAACCGGAGAUUGGAGCAAAUCAAAAGGAGGUGAUCUAUUUGGUACUACUCCAAAAAGAGAUUAGACACUUAUCAAGUAUCAUAUGAGCACAACAAAACUGCUUUUGCAGAUUUUUUUGUCAUGCUGAAACAGGUAAUUUUGUGGAUGUUAUUUAUCGAGGACCGAUGUUCUAACAGAAUUCCAGGGCUUUUUUUUUUUUGUCACACAGCUGGAUAUAGAGGUUUGGCAUGUUUAAUUGGGGUGUUUAUAGUUAUGAGUUCCACAAGUCAUCGUCCGUGGUCACGAGUCUUCCACAAAUCAUUGUACAAAUUGAAGACUAUAUGAUAAACAUGCACGUGAUCCCUGAUUAUUCUGAAAGGAAAAUACUCUUUUCUCAAGUUCAUCCUGCUUUCCCC